rnacentral:rRNA from 1 species
AGUUUGAUCCUGGCUCAGGAUGAACGCUGGCGGUAUGCCUAACACAUGCAAGUCGAACGAUGUCUUCGGACAUAGUGGCGGACGGGUGAGUAACGCGUGAGAACCUACCUUCAAGUCGGGGACAACAACUGGAAACGGUUGCUAAUACCGGAUGUGCCGAGAGGUGAAAGAUUAAUUGCUUGAAGAAGGGCUCGCGUCUGAUUAGCUAGAUGGUGGGGUAAGAGCCUACCAUGGCGACGAUCAGUAGCUGGUCUGAGAGGAUGAGCAGCCACACUGGGACUGAGACACGGCCCAGACUCCUACGGGAGGCAGCAGUGGGGAAUUUUCCGCAAUGGGCGAAAGCCUGACGGAGCAAUACCGCGUGAGGGAGGAAGGCUCUUGGGUUGUAAACCUCUUUUCUCAGGGAAGAAGAUCUGACGGUACCUGAGGAAUAAGCAUCGGCUAACUCCGUGCCAGCAGCCGCGGUAAUACGGAGGAUGCAAGCGUUAUCCGGAAUCAUUGGGCGUAAAGCGUCCGCAGGUGGCCCAUCAAGUCUGUCGUCAAAGAGUGGAGCUUAACUCCAUAAAGGCGGUGGAAACUGGUGAGCUAGAGUUCGGUAGGGGUAGCAGGAAUUCCCAGUGUAGCGGUGAAAUGCGUAGAGAUUGGGAAGAACAUCGGUGGCGAAGGCGUGCUACUGGGCCGAAACUGACACUCA